UUAGGAGUUAAAUCCCUUUGUUUAUGAACCCUAGUCACACCUCCCUGCAUGUGACUUGCACAGCCUUCCAUAAACACUUCCUGUAAAGAGAGCCCUAUUUAGGCUUUCUUUAUUGCAAGUUCUGUUUAAUUAAGAUUUUCUUAUCCCCUGCUAUGUUAAUAGCUUGCUAGACCCUGCAAGAGCCUCCUGUAUGUGAUUAAAGGACCA